UACGUAGGGGGCUAGCGUUAUCCGGAUUUACUGGGCGUAAAGCGCGUUCAGGCGGUUUGGCAAGUCGGGCAUGAAAUCUCUCGGCUCAACCGGGAGAGGUUGUCCGAUACUGCUGGACUUGAGGGCAGUAGAGGGUGGUGGAAUUCCGGGUGUAGUGGUGAAAUGCGUAGAUAUCCGGAGGAACACCAGUGGCGAAAGCGGCCACCUGGACUGCACCUGACGCUGACACGCGAAAGCUAGGGGAGCGAACGGG
rnacentral:rRNA from 1 species